CCCUUAGAUGUUCUGGGCCGCACGCGCGCUACACUGACGAUGGCAACGAGUUUUUCCUUCGCCGAAAGGUGUGGGUAAUCUUUUGAAACAUCGUCGUGCUGGGGAUAGAUCAUUGCAAUUUUUGAUCUUGAACGAGGAAUUCCUAGUAAGCGCGAGUCAUCAGCUCGCGUUGAUUACGUCCCUGCCCUUUGUACACACCGCCCGUCGCUACUACCGAUUGAAUGGUCCGGUGAAAUCUUCGGAUUGCUGACCAAGAUCCAGCAAUGGAGCUUGGUUGCGAGAAGUUGAUUAAACCUUAUUAUUUAGAGGAAGGAGAAGUCGUAACA
rnacentral:rRNA from 1 species